GGAGAGGUGACCGAGAGGCCGAAGGUGCGGCACUGGAAAUGCCGUGUGGUGUCACAGCCACCGCGGGUUCGAAUCCCGCCCUCUCCG
rnacentral:tRNA from 1 species